rnacentral:misc_RNA from 1 species
GUGAAUCAUCAAAUUUUUGAACGCAAAUUGCACUCUCUGGUAUUCCGGAGAGUAUGCCUGUUUGAGGGUCAGUUUAAAUAAAAAUCGGUGUGGUCGCUGCCUUUCGUGGUCACUCGCCGGAUUUGGGUCGUCUUGCCUUCGGGUAAGUGACCUAAAAUAUUUCAUGAUUUUUUCGAACGUAUGUAACUGAUUUUACUUACGUUUGCGAUAUCGAUUACUUGGUGUGUUCA